GGGGAUGUGGCUCAGCGGUAGAGCGCUUGCCUCACACAUGCAAGACCCUGGGUUUGAUUCUCAGCACCA
rnacentral:tRNA from 1 species